GAUUGAAGCUUGCUUCAUGAUUCAGACCUUGGUGAGUGGCGGACGGGUGAGUAACACGUGGGUAACCUGCCNAAAAGUGGGGGAUAACAUUUGGAAACAAGUGCUAAUACCGCAUAACAACUACUUUCACAUGAUCGUAGCUUGAAAGAUGGCUCUGCUAUCGCUUUUGGAUGGACCCGCGGCGUAUUAGCUAGUUGGUGAGGUAAUAGCUCACNAAGGCAAUGAUACGUAGCCGACCUGAGAGGGUAAUCGGCCACAUUGGGACUGAGACACGGCCCAAACUCCUACGGGAGGCAGCAGUAGGGAAUCUUCCACAAUGGGCGAAAGCCUGAUGGAGCAAUGCCGCGUGAGUGAAGAAGGUUUUCGGAUCGUAAAACUCUGUUGUUGAAGAAGAACAUGCGUGAGAGUAACUGUUCACGUACUGACGGUAUUCAACCAGAAAGCUACGGCUAACUACGUGCCAGCAGCCCNGGUAAUACGUA
rnacentral:rRNA from 2 species